CUCUUCUUGUUCAAGCACUGUGCUAAAACUGCAGAAGCUAUGCUGCGUCUUGGCUCCUGUGGUAAUGCCAGCAGAGUACACACAAGAAGAAGAAUGAAACGCACUGGAUCAAUAAAAGACUUGGGCGGACCUCUUUCUUAAUGUCCAGUGUCCUGGUCUGAAGACUCGGUGCAACAGUC